AUGUGUGGUUAUGUCGACACUCUUCAUCGAGAUUGUGUACAUAUUGAUAUGAUGAAGACAGUAGCAGUGGAGAGGGAGACUAAGAGUGAAGGUGAGAGGUCAUGUGAGGAGGUUGAGAGGUCAGGGAGGUCAUGUGAGCGGCUGGUGGAAUGUCGUGAUGUGGUUCUAUUCUCUACUGACACACCUACUGACACACGUACACCUGAUGAUGUCAUCAUUUCCUUAGAGGCCGACAUGUCCUGGUGUGCUCGGUUGUUGAGUGUGUGUGUGCGUGGUGUGGGUGUUCGUUACUUGUCAGCGUGUUGGUCUACUCUUGGAGGAGCACACUCUGCUCUGGGAGAAUGUAGUCAAGCACAUGCUGUACAGGCUGGACUGGUGUCCCAGCAGCAACUAGCUCUUGCCCUGAUCAUGGGAGAUCCAUUGUUGGUGGCGCGUUGCAAGCUCUUCUUGGCAUUCAGUCUACUACAGCAGGGGAGAGUCAAGAGAGCUGCUAGAAUUAUCAGAAUGCUUUGAUAUGCCACCUGGCUGUCAUGAGAUGUGUGUAGCAAGUGAAAGCUGGUCACUGACAUUGUGUGUAGCCACAAUGAACCUGUGCUGUUAUUGUGGUCUAUAUUGUGGUAGGAAUGACUUCAACUCUGGUAAUCUCAUUAAUGCAGUGACACAGUACAGGCAGGAAGUGGAAGCUUACAUAUAUACAACUAUUGUCUUAAACCCUGAGCUGUGUAUCAUCAUGUCUCCUCUAUCCUCUGCACAGGGACCAGUAUGUGUUUGCCACCUCUGAGAGCAGUGUGUAUGAUCAAAAGUUGGUGGACAUGUGUCUGGCAGCCUGGACAAGAGUCAAGCAACUAACUCCACUAACAGUUACAAACUAAUCCUAAAUUAAGAUCAUUCAUUUUUUGUCAUUGCCUGCAAAAUUUAAUUAUUCCGGAUGUAAACUUUGA